rnacentral:rRNA from 1 species
AUUGAACGCUGGCGGCAUGCCUUACACAUGCAAGUCGAACGGUAACGGGCCUUCGGGUGCCGACGAGUGGCGAACGGGUGAGUAAUACAUCGGAACGUGCCCGAUCGUGGGGGAUAACGAGGCGAAAGCUUUGCUAAUACCGCAUACGAUCUACGGAUGAAAGCAGGGGACCGCAAGGCCUUGCGCGGACGGAGCGGCCGAUGGCAGAUUAGGUAGUUGGUGGGAUAAAAGCUUACCAAGCCGACGAUCUGUAGCUGGUCUGAGAGGAUGAUCAGCCACACUGGGACUGAGACACGGCCCAGACUCCUACGGGAGGCAGCAGUGGGGAAUUUUGGACAAUGGGCGCAAGCCUGAUCCAGCCAUGCCGCGUGCAGGAUGAAGGCCUUCGGGUUGUAAACUGCUUUUGUCCGGAACGAAAAGCCUUCUUUUAAUACAGGAGGGUCAUGACGGUACCGUAAGAAUAAGCACCGGCUAACUACGUG